CUCUAUCGCUGCGUUUACGUAGAGGAAAGUCCGGGCAGGAAAGAGCAUCGCACUGUGGAAAGCACAGGUAGGCGUAAGUUUACGAGAGAGGUAACAGAAAAUAACCGCCGACAAAUCCUUUCGGACUAAUCGGUAAGGGUGAAAAUGUGGGGUAAGAGCCCACGUACGUUUGUGGAGACAUACUCGUAGUACCUUUCUGCGACCUGCAAGGCCAAAUAUACCGACAAUUAAGAGUUGCUCGCUCAAUGUCGGGGGGUAGGCUGCUUAGAUAAAUGAUAGAGGCUUGAUUUUCAAGUACAGAACUCGGCUUAUAACCCCUCCCA
rnacentral:RNase_P_RNA from 1 species